rnacentral:lncRNA from 1 species
AACAAACGAAAGUUUAAGAAGUCUCAGAUCUUGAGAGACUCUGUUUAACGGAGUUUCGUCGAAUGAGGGAUGUCCCGUUUGUCUCUUGGUGGGCGGUAUACUCGUCUGGAAUUGAAAAGACUUAGAGCUUGUGGUGUCAUCUUACACCAGGCAACGUGUGCCUACGUUGGUUUGGGGGUGCGGCAAUAUCUUUUUUCCUUUUGCCCAACUUAUUCUACACCGCAAAAGGGAAUGAAAGUAAGAAUAGGAACUAGAGAGGUUUCUAACCAUGCUGUACCUCGUUAUACGACCAUUAUCGCUCAGUCUCGCGAAUCCAUUAUUCUCUCUUCGGUUCUUGAUGGUCUUCUACGCGUACCGGGUCGCACACCAUCCACAUGACGCGGCAAGAUUAUGGUUACGCUUCUCCGCAUUCGUACAACGAGUAUAGGAACGAGCAGAAGGAUCGGCAUCCACUUGCUGCUUGGUGCUUGGUAAUACCACCGCCUGCCUGGUAUCUUCCAUGCUCGAUCAAACGACCGAACGACGUCGGACUUGUGUUGGAUGAUGCUUGGAAUCUCCUACCAAGAGAAAUCUUCCCAAACUAAUCGAUUUUUAACGGUCAUUUGUAUUAAUGCCGUUUCACUAAACUAUUUCAUAUUGCAAAUUAUUUUUAUUUCGUAUGAAUUCUCUCUCGCACUCUCUCUUUCUGUUUCUUUCUAUCUCGCUAAAAUCAAAUGUAAUUUUUAUCAAUUAGAUUCGCGCAAGGUAUUUUGACAUAAAGGAAUAACAAAAAAUAUAAUAUGUAAUUGUGAUAAUAAUAAAUAUCGUAUAUACUUGUAUUAAAUAUAUUAUGUAUAAAUAUAUAUUAUUUAUUAUAGAUUAUAUAGCAACUAAGUGAUUGAGGAUUUUGUCGAUAGACAAAUCACAUUUAUUUCAAUUUUUUGAUAGCAAAGAUGGAAUUAUGACACUGCCUGAACGAUGGCAAAAGGUCAUCGACAAAAAUGGACUAUACCUAAUUGAAUAAACAUAUUUUUCAGCAAAAA